UUACUGCCUGGGUAAAACUGGCUCGCCAC
rnacentral:piRNA from 1 species